UACGGGGGGAGCAAGCGUUGUUCGGAUUUACUGGGCGUAAAGGGCGCGUAGGCGGUCAGCACAAGUCAGUUGUGAAAUCUCCGGGCUUAACUCGGAAAGGUCAACUGAUACUGUGCGACUAGAGUGCGGAAGGGGCAACUGGAAUUCUUGGUGUAGCGGUGAAAUGCGUAGAUAUCAAGAGGAACACCUGCGGCGAAGGCGGGUUGCUGGGCCGACACUGACACUGAGGAGCGAAAGCCAGGGGAGCAAACGGG
rnacentral:rRNA from 1 species